rnacentral:lncRNA from 1 species
ACCGCGUGAGCUUCCCUCCCGGUCUAGCCUGGCCCCUCGCUGACAACCAGAGCCUCUCGGUUGCCCUCUGGGCCUGGCCUUUCGUGUCCGCAGAUCUCGGUUUCCUUCAGAGUCCUGCCUUCUGACAGGUGGCUCGAAGGCGUCCGGCGAGAAGAGCUCAGCUCGUCCUCUACUUGGUGAACCACUUCCCUGAUAAAAGUGUCACCUACCCCACCCCCGGAAGCUUGGGAUGAAGCGGUUUUUUAUAAUCAAGUCACCGGCCAUAUUUUUGCGGAGACUCCGCAUCAAUGGGAUGCACCUAUAGCCUAGUGUCUAAAGUUGAUUUGUUGAAACAUUAAAGCUAUUAUGUGUCAGCUUUCCUACACUAAAA